rnacentral:rRNA from 1 species
CCCUUAGAAGGUCUGGGCUGCACGCGUGCUACAAUGAUGCAUUCAACAAGUUCCUCGUUCGACAGAGCGAGGCAAUCUUCAACGUGCGUCCAAGUGGGGAUAGAUGAUUGCAAUUAUUCAUCUUGAACAAGGAAUAUCUAGUAAAAGCGAGUCAUCACCUCGCAUUGAAUACGUCCCUGCCCUUUGUACACACCGCCCGUCGCUCCUACCGAUUGAAUGCCGAGAUGAAUUGGAUGGAACUCGAACACCAGUUUGAGCAAAGUUCUGUGAAUCUUGUGAUUUAGAGGAAGGAAAAGUCGUAACA